CAAAAUUGGGGAAGUCGAAUUUAUAGCUUUUAAACCUACGUUAUCGAAAUGUAUUAUGAAUAUCGACCAAAAGCGUCUAUAAAAACCUUUUAAUUGGCUAUAGAUAAUUAGAACGUGAUAAUGUUGAUAUAAAGUUGCUAAUUUAAUCAAAUGAAUUAUAUUUGGUGACACUUCUCAAUUCAAAAUGGGCAAGUCGAACUUUAUUGCAUCUAUACUUAUGUUAUUUUUAAAGAGAAAUAUAGAAUGAAUUUCAUCCAAAAGCGUCUAGAAAAAACUAUUAGUUAGUUAGAAAUAAUGAAAACGUAAUAAAGUUGAUAAAAAGUUGCUAAUAUAAUCAAAUAAAUUAUAUUUGGUGCCACUUUUGAAUUCAAACUUGACGAAGUCGAAUUUAUACCCUUUAAACUUACGUUAUCGAAAUGUAUAAUGAAAUUCGACCAAAAACAUCUAUAAAACCCUUUUAAUUGGCUAUAUAGAAUGAGAACGUGAUAAUAUUGAUAUAAAGUUGCUAAUUUAAUUAAAUGAAUUAUAUUUGGUGACACUUCUCAAUUCAAAUUGGGCAAGUCGAACUUUAUUGCAUCUAUACUUAUUUAUUUUUGAAGAGAAAUAUAGAAUGAAUUUCAUUCAAAAGCGUCAAGAAAAAACUCUUAGUUAGUUAUAAAUAAUGAAAAUGUAAUAAAGUUGAUAAAAAGUUGCUAAUAUAAUCAACUAAAUUGUAUUUGGUGACACUUUUAAAUUCAAAAUUGGGGAAGUCGAAUUUAUAGCCUUCAAACUUACGUUAUCGAAAUGUAUAAUUAAAUUCGACCAAAAGCGUCUAUUAUAACAUUUUAAUUGGCUAUAUAGAAUGAGAACGUGAUAAUGUUGGUAUAAAGUUGCUAAUUUAAUCAAAUUAAUUAUAUUUGGUGACACUUCUUUAUUCAAAUUGGUCAAGUGGAACUUUAUUGCAUCUAAACUUAUGUUAUUUUUAAAGAGAAAUAUAGAAUGAAUUUCAUCCAAAAGCGUCAAGAAAAACCUGUUUGUUAGUUAUAAAUAAUGAAAACGUAAUAAAGUUGAUAAAAAGUUGCUAAUAUAAUCAAAUAAAUUAUAUUUGGUGCCACUUUUGAAUUCAAAAUUGGGGAAGUCGAAUUUAUAGCCUCUAAACUUACGUUAUCGAAAUGUAUAAU
rnacentral:lncRNA from 1 species